CAGAACACGCACAGCCAGUGCCAACAAAUACAUUAUGUAUGAUAAAUUGAACUAGACUCUGCUGUAGUAAAGUGUGGCAGUGACAAUGGUGGAAUGACUGUGUUUGCUUAAGUUACCAUAAUGCCUAACAAUAUGACUCAGAUUUUGCUCUGCUUCCUUCUUUAUGUCAUCUCCCAUAGCCAGUGUUGUGCCUUCAGCACAAAAACCAUCAGCGGCUCUCAAAGACAUGAAAUCAAGGAUUCCAUCAUCAUUGGUCCUUUUUGACAAAAGUUUUGGAUACAAAGAAUAGUUAAGGACGUACAAAGGAUUUACAAACCUCUACUGUCAUCAGUUUUGGUGGAUGUUAAACGAAUAACAGGAUGUGCUGGAAGUGCUCCCCCUAGUGUUGCAGUGUCAAUAGAUGCGUAAAAUGUGCCCUUUUUGAGGAGAAGCUUCAGUGGUUUUGGGAUCAACAAUUCUAAUGCGUAUGCUGAGAACAGUGGCAACUCUGCUCAAAUCCAAUUUUAACUAAGCUGCAACGGAUUAAAGAAAAUGACAAGAUGUUCGCAUUGAAAGUGCACCGUUGCUAUAGCUACACUGUAGAUUUCAUGUUACAACAAGCCCAGCAGUGCCCAGAAUUUCUAAGUCUGCGUUUGUGAACUAAUGCUUUGCUGGAGGCGCAAAGCUAAUCCAAGUGAAGAAAUGAAGUAGAGCUAGAGUACUUGGAUAGAGCUGAGUGGGAGGGCUGAAGAGGACUACUCGAUUACAGCCUGAGUGGAAGGAACGAAUGGUGCAUAUGCACUUUGAAGAGCCUGAAGUUGAACAAGUACCAAAGCAGAAAUUGGACACAAGGUUAAAAGAGGGAAGUGGGUGGAGUAGAAAUGAAGAUUAUUAGUGAUGGAUGACAAUGGAUUAAAUUUAUUUUUCAAAUGA